rnacentral:rRNA from 1 species
AGAGUUUGAUCAUGGCUCAGAACGAACGCUGGCGGCGUGGAUAAGACAUGCAAGUCGAACGGGACUUUCUUUGGUAGCAAUACCGGAGAAAGUUUAGUGGCGAACGGGUGCGUAACACGUGGGCAAUCUGCCGAGAAGUGGGGAAUAGCUCGCCGAAAGGCGAAUUAAUACCGCAUGUGAUCAGGGAAGACAUCUUUCCGACAUCAAAGCCGGGGCAACCUGGCGCUUCUUGAUGAACCCGCGGCCUAUCAGCUAGUUGGUGAAGUAACGGCUCACCAAGGCUAUGACGGGUAGCUGGUCUGAGAGGACGACCAGCCACACUGGAACUGAGACACGGUCCAGACACCUACGGGUGGCAGCAGUCGAGAAUUUUUCUCAAUGGGGGAAACCCUGAAGGAGCGACGCCGCGUGGAGGAUGAAGGCUUUCGGGUUGUAAACUCCUGUCAUUUGAGAACAAGGUGCACAUGUUAACUGUAUGUGCAUUGAUAGUAUCAGAAGAGGAAGAGACGGCUAACUCUGUGCCAGCAGCCGCGGUAAUACAGAGGUCUCAAGCGUUGUUCGGAUUCAUUGGGCGUAAAGGGUGCGUAGGUGGCGCGCUAAGUCAGGUGUGAAAUUUCGGAGCUUAACUCCGAAACUGCAUUUGAUACUGGCGUGCUUGAGGACUGGAGAGGAGACUGGAAUUCAUGGUGUAGCAGUGAAAUGCGUAGAGAUCAUGAGGAAGACCAGUGGCGAAGGCGGGUCUCUGGACAGUUCCUGACACUGAGGCACGAAGGCCAGGGGAGCAAACGGGAUUAGAUACCCUAGUAGUCC